GUGGCCGUAGCUCAACGGCAGCGCGUCGGAUUGUGAAUCCGAAGGCACGGGUUCGACACCCGUCGGCCACCCCA
rnacentral:tRNA from 1 species